GGGGGCGUAGCUCAGUUGGGAGAGCGCUACAAUGGCAUUGUAGAGGUCAGGGGUUCGAAUCCCCUCGCCUCCA
rnacentral:tRNA from 1 species